UGCUGGGUGGGUGCUAGGAGGGCUGUGCAGGGCUGUCUUUCUUCCUAACGCAAUUUCCUGUUGAAACCCGAGUGCCAAGAGGGCCCUGAGGACAAAGCCGCUGGGAGGAAGGAAAGACACGUUACCUUCAGGUGCUGGUGCUGCAGCUUCUCCUCCUCUAUCUUCAGGCGCUUCUCGGAGAUUUCCUCCUGUAUUCUCCUUUUAUCCUGAAAUACAAAAGUCCUGGCGUCACCUUUCCCAUUUUAAAUCGGUUUCCUUAACCGCGUGUCCUCGGGUUGGUGCCGGGGUGGAGAGGGUGGCCAGCGACGGCCGCCUGGCACGGGUACGAGGCUGCUUUGCAAACUCCUGCUGCGCAGCAAGGAGAGCAGAGGGGCCGUUCAGGGCACCUGUGGCUGGAGGGCGACACGGUGCUUUUUCAAAGAGAACCAAGCCGCUUCCCUGCCUCCCCUGCCCCUCUCCUCGCUCUGUCUUCCCCAGGAGCCAGCGAGGUGGAGCUGUGGAGGACAGGCUGGUGGUUCUAGAGCAGGCGUGUGGGGACCCGGGGUACGGCCUGGCCCGGGGGAUUGUGGCGGCCAUGAGGGGGCCGGGCGGGGGCCUGAGGCCCCAGGGGACCACUCUGUGAUGUGUGGGGUUGUCUGGCCACCGGGCUGUGUGCCUGAAACUAAUGCAGAAUGGUGCUGGGUGUGAGCUGUGAUGGAAACAUUUCACAAACGUAGAUGAUCAGGAAAGACAACGAAAGAUUGAGCUGCGGAGAGGUGCGAUGGGAAAGCGAGUUGAGGGAGGCGCUCUGAAGGAGGCCGGGGAAACCCUGGGGAGAAGGACUCGUCCAGGCGUGAGGGCCAGGAAAAGGGCGGUGCGUGUGGGAAAGCAGGCCAGACCCGGGAGCUGCCCCGGGCACCGUUCCCUCCUUGUGUAACUGGCUGUGGGAAGACGGAGAGAAAAGGGGUGAGGCACUGCUUGUCAACUCUGAGGUUAAAACCAAACUCAUGGAGCGAGUCAGUAGCUUUCACCAACUUCCAACUGCAGAACCGCACAAAACCCCGAACGCAUGGCUGGUCCUGCACGCGGCCUGCACCGUUGAGAAAAGGAUAGCACAUGCACUGCAUCGCCUGGGCUCCAUUUCCGGCUCCGCCACUUGCCAGCUCCGUGUCCCUGGACAAAGGGCUUAACUUCUCGGUGCCUCGAUCGCCUCAUCUCUACCACAUGGAAAAAUGGAGGCUCCCACAGGACAGAAGUGUGUUGCCAAUGGAGACAUCGGGAGGGAUGGGAAGCCGGCUCGGAAGGCGAUUAGAAGGAAGAGAUCCAAACACACUUGGCAGCGUGACCGCAGCCGGGCGGCCUCCCCAGGCGGCCGCUUUGAAGAUAAGAACUCGCUUUGAUGUGGAAGCUCAGGUACAUUUGUUGAAGGAAAACAACGCCCUGCGCUCCAGCCUGAUGUCAUUGUUCGUCCCUGCCUGGAAGGAGGCGAUGACCUCACCAGGCAUCUUCCGGAAGCCGCUCUUUUGGAAAAACAAUCGCCAGGCAACCAGUGGGCCACUUCUUUCCCUUGGAUAAGAUCUGGCCAUUGGGAAGAAAAACUCCCCAAACGCGUGAGUCAGGCCGCCACCCUCUCUGGAGGCUGCUAUCGAGCAAAUACUCGUCAUAUUUUAACUUUCUGCGCCAAACGCUGUGGCACGUCGUUAUGGGCACCGUUUCACUCGAUAGUUAUAACAACACGAUGUGCUGUGAUAUUUCCCUUAAUAGUCAUAGUUACAGGAGGCAUCGCAGGAGGAGAAGCGGGUGUGGGGAGUCACUGGCCAAUCCACGCUCUCGCAACCCGUCGGUGGCAGAGCCGGGAUUUUUUUCUUUUCCCCAAAUAGAAAGUUUUAUUCUAAGGGAGGAGUUUGGGCUUGGCCGGCAUCGGUUUCUCCUUUAGGAAUGAAGUAUACGUGGUGGUGACUGCACCAACACACAAGAUGCCAUUUAAUAAAUUAAACUAUAAUGACUGUU